GCUGGGCCCGGUCGGGGAGGAGCAGGCCGCGCGGCUGCGGCCCCGGCUGGCGGGGCGCCCGUUCGACCGGGCGUUCAGCA
rnacentral:tRNA from 1 species